UUAAGCGACUAAGCGUACACGGUGGAUGCCCUGGCAGUCAGAGGCGAUGAAGGACGUGCUAAUCUGCGAAAAGCGACGGCGAGGUGAUAUGAACCUUUGACCCGUCGAUGUCCGAAUGGGGAAACCCAGUGCAAUUCGUUGCACUAUCGUUAACUGAAUACAUAGGUUAACGAGGCGAACCGGGGGAACUGAAACAUCUAAGUACCCCGAGGAAAAGAAAUCAACCGAGAUUCCCCCAGUAGCGGCGAGCGAACGGGGAGCAGCCCGGAGUCUGAAUCAGCUUGUGUGUUAGUGGAAGCGUCUGGAAAGUCGCACGGUACAGGGUGACAGUCCCGUACACGAAAAUGCACAGGUUGUGAACUCGAAGAGUAGGGCGGGACACGUGGUAUCCUGUCUGAAUAUGGGGGGACCAUCCUCCAAGGCUAAAUACUCCUGACUGACCGAUAGUGAACCAGUACCGUGAGGGAAAGGCGAAAAGAACCCCGGCGAGGGGAGUGAAAAAGAACCUGAAACCGUGUACGUACAAGCAGUGGGAGCACCUUCGGGUGUGACUGCGUACCUUUUGUAUAAUGGGUCAGCGACUUAUAUUCUGUAGCAAGGUUAACCGUAUAGGGGAGCCGCAGGGAAACCGAGUCUUAACUGGGCGUUAAGUUGCAGGGUAUAGACCCGAAACCCGGUGAUCUAGCCAUGGGCAGGUUGAAGGUUGGGUAACACUAACUGGAGGACCGAACCGACUAAUGUUGAAAAAUUAGCGGAUGACCUGUGGCUGGGGGUGAAAGGCCAAUCAAACCGGGAGAUAGCUGGUUCUCCCCGAAAGCUAUUUAGGUAGCGCCUCGUGAAUUCAUCUUCGGGGGUAGAGCACUGUUUCGGCUAGGGGGCCAUCCCGGCUUACCAACCCGAUGCAAACUACGAAUACCGAAGAAUGUUAUCACGGGAGACACACGGCGGGUGCUAACGUCCGUCGUGAAGAGGGAAACAACCCAGACCGCCAGCUAAGGUCCCAAAGUCAUGGUUAAGUGGGAAACGAUGUGGGAAGGCACAGACAGCCAGGAUGUUGGCUUAGAAGCAGCCAUCAUUUAAAGAAAGCGUAAUAGCUCACUGGUCGAGUCGGCCUGCGCGGAAGAUGUAACGGGGCUAAACCAUGCACCGAAGCUGCGGCAGCGACACUAUGUGUUGUUGGGUAGGGGAGCGUUCUGUAAGCCGUUGAAGGUGUGCUGUGAGGCAUGCUGGAGGUAUCAGAAGUGCGAAUGCUGACAUAAGUAACGAUAAAGCGGGUGAAAAGCCCGCUCGCCGGAAGACCAAGGGUUCCUGUCCAACGUUAAUCGGGGCAGGGUGAGUCGACCCCUAAGGCGAGGCCGAAAGGCGUAGUCGAUGGGAAACAGGUUAAUAUUCCUGUACUUGGUGUUACUGCGAAGGGGGGACGGAGAAGGCUAUGUCAGCCGGGCGACGGUUGUCCCGGUUUAAGCGUGUAGGUGUGUGUUCCAGGCAAAUCCGGUUCACUUUAACACUGAGGCGUGAUGACGAGGCACUACGGUGCUGAAGUGAUAAAUGCCCUGCUUCCAGGAAAAGCCUCUAAGCAUCAGGUAACACGAAAUCGUACCCCAAACCGACACAGGUGGUCAGGUAGAGAAUACCAAGGCGCUUGAGAGAACUCGGGUGAAGGAACUAGGCAAAAUGGUGCCGUAACUUCGGGAGAAGGCACGCUGAUAUGUAGGUGAAGCCCCUGCGGGCGGAGCUGAAAUCAGUCGAAGAUACCAGCUGGCUGCAACUGUUUAUUAAAAACACAGCACUGUGCAAACACGAAAGUGGACGUAUACGGUGUGACGCCUGCCCGGUGCCGGAAGGUUAAUUGAUGGGGUUAGCGGCAACGCGAAGCUCUUGAUCGAAGCCCCGGUAAACGGCGGCCGUAACUAUAACGGUCCUAAGGUAGCGAAAUUCCUUGUCGGGUAAGUUCCGACCUGCACGAAUGGCGUAAUGAUGGCCAGGCUGUCUCCACCCGAGACUCAGUGAAAUUGAACUCGCUGUGAAGAUGCAGUGUACCCGCGGCAAGACGGAAAGACCCCGUGAACCUUUACUAUAGCUUGACACUGAACACUGGUCCUUGAUGUGUAGGAUAGGUGGGAGGCUUUGAAGCGUGGACGCCAGUCUGCGUGGAGCCGUCCUUGAAAUACCACCCUUUAAUGGCUGGUGUUCUAACGUGGACCCGUGAUCCGGGUUGCGGACAGUGUCUGGUGGGUAGUUUGACUGGGGCGGUCUCCUCCCAAAGAGUAACGGAGGAGCACGAAGGUUAGCUAAUCCUGGUCGGACAUCAGGAGGUUAGUGCAAUGGCAUAAGCUAGCUUGACUGCGAGAGUGACGGCUCGAGCAGGUGCGAAAGCAGGUCAUAGUGAUCCGGUGGUUCUGAAUGGAAGGGCCAUCGCUCAACGGAUAAAAGGUACUCCGGGGAUAACAGGCUGAUACCGCCCAAGAGUUCAUAUCGACGGCGGUGUUUGGCACCUCGAUGUCGGCUCAUCACAUCCUGGGGCUGAAGUAGGUCCCAAGGGUAUGGCUGUUCGCCAUUUAAAGUGGUACGCGAGCUGGGUUUAGAACGUCGUGAGACAGUUCGGUCCCUAUCUGCCGUGGGCGCUGGAGAAUUGAGGGGGGCUGCUCCUAGUACGAGAGGACCGGAGUGGACGCAUCACUGGUGUUCGGGUUGUCAUGCCAAUGGCACUGCCCGGUAGCUAAAUGCGGAAGAGAUAAGUGCUGAAAGCAUCUAAGCACGAAACUUGCCCCGAGAUGAGUUCUCCCUGAGACUUUAAGUCUCCUGAAGGAACGUUGAAGACGACGACGUUGAUAGGCCGGGUGUGUAAGCGCAGCGAUGCGUUGAGCUAACCGGUACUAAUGAACCGUGAGGCUUAACCU
rnacentral:rRNA from 1 species